CCAGCAGCCGCGGUAAUUCCAGCUCCAAUAGCGUAUAUUAAAGUUGCUGCAGUUAAAAAGCUCGUAGUUGGAUCUCGGGUGCAGGCUUGCGGUCCGUCUCGCGGCGGUCACUGCUCGUCCUGGCCUCCCAGCCGGCGUACCGUCCCUUGGUGCUCUUGACUGAGUGUCUCGGGCGGCCGGAACGUUUACUUUGAAGAAAUUAGAGUGCUCAAAGCAGGCCUUGGUCGCCUGAAUAAUGGUGCAUGGAAUAAUGGAAUAGGACCUCGGUUCUAUUUUGUUGGUUUUCGGAGCUCGAGGUAAUGAUUAAUAGGGACUGACGGGGGCAUUCGUAUUGCGGCGCUAGAGGUGAAAUUCUUGGACCGUCGCAAGACGAACUACAGCGAAAGCAUUUGCCAAGCAUGUUUUCAUUAAUCAAGAACGAAAGU
rnacentral:rRNA from 1 species